rnacentral:rRNA from 1 species
CACGUGGGGCGCGAGCGUUGUCCGGAAUUAUUGGGCGUAAAGAGCUCGUAGGCGGCCUGUUGCGUCCGCUGUGAAAGCCCGGGGCUUAACCCCGGGUCUGCAGUGGAUACGGGCAGGCUAGAGGUAGGUAGGGGAGAAUGGAAUUCCCGGUGUAGCGGUGAAAUGCGCAGAUAUCGGGAGGAACACCGGUGGCGAAGGCGGUUCUCUGGGCCUUACCUGACGCUGAGGAGCGAAAGCGUGGGGAGCGAACAGG